rnacentral:rRNA from 1 species
AUUGAACGCUGGCGGCAGGCUUAACACAUGCAAGUCGAGCGAGAAAGCACUUCGGUGCGAGUAAAGCGGCGGACGGGUGAGUAACGCGUAGGAAUCUACCCGGUAGUGGGGGACAACAUGGUGAAAACCAUGCUAAUACCGCAUACGCCCUAUGGGGGAAAGCGGGGGAUCUUCGGACCUCGCGCUAUCGGAUGAGCCUGCGUAGGAUUAGCUAGUUGGUGAGGUAAAGGCUCACCAAGGCGACGAUCCUUAGCUGGUCUGAGAGGAUGAUCAGCCACACUGGAACUGAGACACGGUCCAGACUCCUACGGGAGGCAGCAGUGGGGAAUAUUGCGCAAUGGGGGCAACCCUGACGCAGCCAUGCCGCGUGUGUGAAGAAGGCCUUAGGGUUGUAAAGCACUUUCAAUUGGGAAGAAAAGCUUAACGUUAAUAGCGUUGAGCCCUGACAUUACCUUUAGAAGAAGCACCGGCUAACUCCGUGCCAGCCGCCGC